AACGAACGCUGGCGGCAGGCUUAACACAUGCAAGUCGAACGCCCCGCAAGGGGAGUGGCAGACGGGUGAGUAACGCGUGGGAAUCUACCCAGUUCUACGGAACAACUGAGGGAAACUUCAGCUAAUACCGUAUACGCCCUACGGGGGAAAGAUUUAUCGGAAUUGGAUGAGCCCGCGUAAGAUUAGAUAGUUGGUGGGGUAAUGGCCUACCAAGGCGACGAUCUUUAGCUGGUCUGAGAGGAUGAUCAGCCACACUGGGACUGAGACACGGCCCAGACUCCUACGGGAGGCAGCAGUGGGGAAUAUUGGACAAUGGGCGCAAGCCUGAUCCAGCCAUGCCGCGUGAGUGAUGAAGGCCUUAGGGUUGUAAAGCUCUUUCAGUAGGGAAGAUAAUGACGGUACCUACAGAAGAAGCCCCGGCUAACUUCGUGCCAGCAGCCGCCGUAA
rnacentral:rRNA from 1 species